GUUCUAGUUUAGAACUUUAUCUGGUUCUAACUUGCACCAGCAGUGGUCAUUGUAUCUGCAAGCUGGCCCUCUCAGUACUGGAGAUGAGGAAGUGAGGUUGUGCAGGACAUCUCCCCUUCUUCCCUCAGUGCCUUGUAACCCACACCUCUCCUCUCCUCUGGUGACUUAUUUCUUAGUUUACUUUAUACUGGGUUUUCUGUAAACCGCUAAGAUGUGCCUGACUUAUCGGAAGGACUGUCUUGUGUGCAAACAGCCCUCUCCAGAAAGAGUCACUAAUGACCUCUCCCCCAGCCCUGGUUGUUUCAACAUGGUGGUUUUCUUCAUGGUUCUUCCCAAAGUAACUUGGGAGGCCGCCAUAUUACAGUGUUAAAUACUACGUAUCUUAUAAAAGUGAUUCUAGUUACCAUGAAGAUCUUACAUUUGAAACUAGGAUCAUUAACUCUUCAAAGACUUGCUAAUCUACCUGCCGAUUCGUGAUGGCUACUUGGCUCUGAUCCCCGGAAGAGGUAAAGGGGUAACUGGCAUUUCGUAUUUCUGGUGGUUAGAUUCCAGGGUUCUUUGGGCUACUUGUUAAAGAUGUCGUUGCCUGUGGCCAAUCCAUCGAGACCCUUUCUGAUGGUUCAACAGAGGAAAGAAGACAUUCAGGCACUAAAAUAAAUAAUUUGAGUAUUUGCAGAUCUGAAGAGAGUGAUCCAUUUGGGAGGGGCCAUGCCGUGGGCCUCACAGUUCUGACAGAGGCAUUGCAAGAACUCGUUUAAACCAUCCUUCUAUGAAAACAAGGGACCAGUUUUGGUGUCUUAAGACUUUCUUUCUAGCGUAUUGUGAGGUUUCGUCUAGCUCAGACAUUGGUGAGUUCGGCGGCCGAUGGAUGCUUGAUGCAUGCUUGCAUGCAUUGUUGUGUAGCCAGCUUUGAAAUGCUUCUUUCUCUUGCGAAUGGCAGAACAAUCAUGUCCUUCUUUGUAAGGGAGUAAGUCAGUGAUUUUAUUUGCUCCAUGGGUUUGUGGUCAUAUCCCAGGCUUAGGCUGCCCUCAGUUUCCUAUGCCAAGGUGUGUGCUGUAGCUUUUUGAUCCUAGGGGGAAAAAGAUCGUCUGUGGAGCCACCCUUCUUUAAGAGUGAGCGUAUGAUAGAGGGUUUGUCUGACUUACUGUUUUAAUAUCUUCUAAGAUGACAUCCUCAUACUUCUUUUUUCCUUUUUGCUGCUCUGUGGGCUCAAACCACCUCACAUUAUAGCAUCAUCUGGAAAGAGGAUUUAAGUCUUUCAUUAUGGAUAUAAUGAAACACCUUCUGGGUUUUAUGCCAUGGGCUCUUAAAACUGUUACAAAAUGUGAAUUUAUAAAGUACUUUGUUUUCCCUCUGUGACCUGUUACUUCAGGCCACUGGGCGACAUCUUAGCAGUCUGCAGCUCCUGAGUCAGUUACUGGGACUUCAGAAGGAAAAGUUGCCCACCCUUCCCCCAUCCUGCUUACGUGCAUGCACACAUGUGUGCAUGUGUGUGUGCCUGCAGAUGUAUACUUGACAACAAAAGAAAGCCUGGAGGCCAGAUCCUGACCCAGAAUGUUCUAUUGUGUUGCUGGGCUCCAGUUCUGAAGAAGGACUCUAAGACGAUCCAUGGAGUGGACCAAAGCUCUUAUUUAAUUGCACAGCUCAGAACUUUGCUGCCAGAAGCACCCACUCCGGUGUUGGCCUCCUCACUGCUGUCUCGAACUGACUUUUAAAAUUAAGUUAAACUUUUUGUUUGCAGGAGAGUAUGAGCUGUAACAUUACGUGCACAGACAUUGUGACUCAUGGAAUCUUUACUCCGAUGUAGUUAAUAAACUUCUUUGCACCUUGUGGCU
rnacentral:lncRNA from 1 species